GCCUGGGUGGCUCAGUCGGUUAAGCGUCUGACUUCGGCUCAGGUCAUGAUCUCGAGGUUCGUGAGUUCGAGCCCCGCAUCAGGUU
rnacentral:tRNA from 1 species